AACGAACGUUAGCGGCGCGCCUAACACAUGCAAGUCGCACGAGAAAGGGCUUCGGCCCCGGUAAAGUGGCGCACGGGUGAGUAACACGUGGGUAACCUACCCUCGAGCGGGGGAUAACAUUCCGAAAGGAGUGCUAAUACCGCAUAAGACCACGACCUCGAAAGAGGUUGAGGUAAAAGCUGGCCUCUAUACAUAAGCUAGCACUUGAGGAUGGGCCCGCGGCGCAUCAGGUAGUUGGUGAGGUAAUGGCUCACCAAGCCGAAGACGCGUAGCUGGUCUGAGAGGAUGAUCAGCCACACUGGAACUGAGACACGGUCCAGACUCCUACGGGAGGCAGCAGUGGGGAAUCUUGCGCAAUGGGCGAAAGCCUGACGCAGCGGCGCCGCGUGAGUGAUGAAGGCCUUCGGGUUGUAAAGCUCUGUGGGGCGAGACGAAUAAGUGCAGCCUAAUACGUUGCAUGAUGACGGUAUCGCCUUAGCAAGCACCGGCUAACUCUGUGCCAGCAGCCGCAGUAAAAC
rnacentral:rRNA from 1 species